GCCCCCAUGGUGGAAUUGGCAUACACGGCUGACUUAAAAUCAGCUGCCGAAAGGCUUGCGAGUUCGAGUCUCGCUGGGGGCACCA
rnacentral:tRNA from 2 species